rnacentral:rRNA from 1 species
GAUGAACGCUGGCGGCGUGCCUAAUACAUGCAAGUCGAGCGAACGGACGAGAAGCUUGCUUCUCUGAUGUUAGCGGCGGACGGGUGAGUAACACGUGGAUAACCUACCUAUAAGACUGGGAUAACUUCGGGAAACCGGAGCUAAUACCGGAUGAUAUUUUGAACCGCAUGGUUCAAAAGUGAAAGACGGUCUUGCUGUCACUUAUAGAUGGAUCCGCGCUGCAUUAGCUAGUUGGUAAGGUAACGGCUUACCAAGGCAACGAUGCAUAGCCGACCUGAGAGGGUGAUCGGCCACACUGGAACUGAGACACGGUCCAGACUCCUACGGGAGGCAGCAGUAGGGAAUCUUCCGCAAUGGGCGAAAGCCUGACGGAGCAACGCCGCGUGAGUGAUGAAGGUCUUCGGAUCGAAAAACUCUGUUAUUAGGGAAGAACAUAUGUGCAAGUAACUGUGCACAUCUUGACGGUACCUAAUCAGAAAGCCACGGCUAACUACGUG